ensembl:lncRNA
UAAAUAUUUACAGCCAGCAAGUCACUACUGACCAAGGAAGGCGUGAACUACAUUUCAGGCUUCUUCUAUGUCAGGUGUCAUUGUGAUCUGCAGCGAGCAAGGAGCAGCUGCAAGAGAGCCUGGAGAGGUGGAGGUAUGAAAUGGAGAGAAGAGGAAUGAAAGUCAGUAGGAGCAAAACCAAAUACAUGAGUAUAAAUAAAGCUGGUUUUAUGGUAUAGUGGAGUUUACUGGGAAAAGGAGAACUGAGGAGGAAAAAAAGAACUUCAAAGAUCAAAAAACAGCUUGAAAAGCACAAAUGAGGGCUGCAGUGGACACGUUUCAUUAUUUCUAACACUCUGUUUCACUUCACUUUUUUUUGGAUGUUACAUAUUUGCUCUUCUCCGAGGCUGCCUGACAGACUAACAACACGAGCAAAAGUGGCCUGCAUAUCUUCUACACUGCCUCCAUCUGACAGCAGAGCUCCCUGCAGGCAGAGGGGCCCGGACUGAAGCUGACAAUGAACACACCGCUUCUGCUCGACCAUAAAACCAGCUUCAGACGGAGACAGGUGAAAAGGUCAACAUCCAAGGAGUAGAGGUAGUGAAGUUUUGAUGCCUUCAGGAGAUGGGGCGAACAAUACUAGAGGUCAACUUCAAGCCAACUGCACAAGUCAACAUCAAGUGUGGGAUCUACCAAGGAGAUAACCUGCCCCCACUGCUGUUCUGCAUAGGCCUGAAUCCCUCAGUGAGAUCACUGCAAGACUGGCUACGGAUACAGACUACAGAAUGGAGCAAUCGUCAGCCACCUCCUCUACAUAUCUGACAUCAAGCUGUAUGAAAGAAGUGAACGAGAAAUCGAGCUCUGAGCAGAAGAUUGUUAGAGGCUG